UCGGGGAAUUGAGGAUUCUCCUUCUUCGUAUUCCAUAUCACCACAGAAUCGACGGCUCAAUUCCAUCGAGGGAUCCGUCGCGUUGACGUCGCCGCGUGAGUCGCUGGUCGCUGCUGGAGCCACCGGACAGCACAGCUGCUGUCGCCAGCUCCCUCCCUUCCGCCAGCCGCCGUUCGCGUUAGCAACGGGGUCCAGCCCCCGGGUAGUCAGCCCCUGCUGUCGCCACCGCCCCGAACCACUCCGAUUUGACCCGAAACAACUCUGAUCAGCCCCGCACUCCACCCAAACAGCCCCGAAACAACCCGCAAGAGUUAAGUGAGGAAGAUGGAAGGUGAAGAGAGUUGGAGGUGGAGAGUCUCCAUGGAAGCAUUCGGCCGAGAGGGGGAAAGAAAGAAGGAAGAAGAAAAGAAUUCUUGGGCUUGCUCCCAUUUGUUUGGAAAAGAAUUGGGCUCCCACACUUUAUUUAUUUGUUGAAAUUUAUAUGCCCAAAAUGAUUUAUUUUGUUGUAAAUAAAUCAAGCCCAAACUUUACUUAUUU